rnacentral:rRNA from 1 species
UACCAGCACCCCGAGUGGUCGGGACGUUUAUUGGGCCUAAAGCAUCCGUAGCCGGUUCUACAAGUCUUCCGUUAAAUCCAAACUGCUUAACAGGUGGGCUGCGGAAGAUACUAUAGAGCUAGGAGGCGGGAGAGGCAAGCGGUACUCGAUGGGUAGGGGUAAAAUCCGUUGAUCCAUUGAAGACCACCAGUGGCGAAGGCGGCUUGCCAGAACGCGCUCGACGGUGAGGGAUGAAAGCUGGGGGAGCAAACCGG